rnacentral:lncRNA from 1 species
GAUGCGGAGCGAGUCGUAGCCGAUGAAGGGCUUCCAGGUCUUCUUGUCCUCCUUGUAGAACCAGCGUACCUCCUCCGGGCCCAGCUCCGUCACUACCUCAUAGCGGUGCCGGGCCGCCGGGCCGCCAAGCCGGGUACGUUUCCUUUCCCCGGGGGACCCUCCUGUCGCGCCGCCGCCCCCCGAGUUCGUCGGGACCAGCGGAGGCUGCUGCGGCGGGUGCAGCGACAAGGAGCUGCCGCCGCCGCCGCUCUCACCCUCGCUGUAGUAGCGCAGCGAGGAGCCCGACUCGGCGGAGCUGAAGUCAUAGUUCUCGUCACUGAGGCAGGGGUCCAGCGCGAGGUGGUGGUUGUGGUCGUCGGUGCCCGGCGCCAAAUGCAGCCCGGGUUCCCCGCGCAGCAGGGCCAGGGGCACGUCGCCGUCGUCCGGGUCCCCGCCGGGCAGGUGCUCGAAGCAGCAGACGCCGCCGCCGAACGCUGGCCUCGCGUCUGAGCCCAGCUCCCAGGCGCCGCCGCCGCCGCCUCGGCCGUUAUGCUCGGGGCUCCGUGGGGACCCGCGGCCCGGGUAAUUCAUGCUGUGGAGACGCCGCCGGCUGUCCGGCGGCGCGCGGAGCCGUGACCCCCAGCGCUUCCGCCACACAUUCAACGCCGCCGCCCUCUCCACCCGAAGUUUCUAAUCUUUCAAAUCCCGACCCGAGCUGCGGCGGCAGCGGCGACCGCUCCGCCCCCACGAGACCCGCAGCCGCCGCAGCUGCGUUCUGCCGCCGGCCCCAUUGUCAC